rnacentral:rRNA from 1 species
UAAUACUACCUCGCAACAGAGGGAUAACCCGGAGAAAUCCGGACUAAUACCUCAUAGCACAUAUUAUUCGCAUGAAUUUUAUGUUAAAGAGACUCGGUUACAGAUGAACAUGCGUUCCAUUAGCUAGUUGGCGGGGUUACGGCCCACCAAGGCAACGAUGGAUAGGGGUUCUGAGAGGAAGGUCCCCCACACUGGUACUGAGACACGGACCAG